UUCAGUAAGUAUGCUGGAUUCACCGGAGUUCGUUUGGGGUGGACUGUUGUCCCAAAGCAGUUGCUCUUUUCAGAUGGAUUUCCUGUUGCCAAGGACUUCAACCGCAUCGUUUGUACUUGCUUUAAUGGUGCAUCAAAUAUUUCCCAAGCUGGUGGUCUUGCUUGCCUUUCACCAGAAGGUCUUAAGGUCCGUUCUAAUGUCUCUUGAUUGAUUGCUGAAUUUUCAAGCUAACACUCCACCUGCAUGUGUUGUUACAAGCUUUGAUUACAUUUAUUUGAUUUCAUCUCAUUGUAGGCAAUGCAUGAGGUGAUCGGCUUCUACAAAGAAAAUACUAAUAUAAUAGUGGAGACAUUUGAGUCUCUAGGCUUUAAGGUUUAUGGAGGGAAGAAUGCACCAUAUGUGUGGGUCCACUUCCCUGGCCGAAGCUCAUGGGAUGUAUUCAGUGAGAUUCUUGAGAAGACUCAUGUGGUUACCACACCUGGGAGUGGUUUUGGACCUGGUGGUGAAGGUUUCGUCAGGGUUAGCGCCUUUGGUCACAGGAGUAAUGUAU
rnacentral:lncRNA from 1 species